GAACUGAAGAGUUUGAUCCUGGCUCAGAUUGAACGCUGGCGGCAUGCUUUACACAUGCAAGUCGAACGGCAGCGCGGGGCAACCUGGCGGCGAGUGGCGAACGGGUGAGUAAUAUAUCGGAACGUACCCAAGAGUGGGGGAUAACGUAGCGAAAGUUACGCUAAUACCGCAUACGAUCUAAGGAUGAAAGCGGGGGAUCGCAAGACCUCGUGCUCCUGGAGCGGCCGAUAUCUGAUUAGCUAGUUGGUGAGGUAAAGGCUCACCAAGGCGACGAUCAGUAGCUGGUCUGAGAGGACGACCAGCCACACUGGAACUGAGACACGGUCCAGACUCCUAC
rnacentral:rRNA from 1 species